CCUACGGGUGGCAGCAGUAGGGAAUAUUGCUCAAUGGGGGAAACCCUGAAGCAGCAACGCCGCGUGGAGGAUGAAGGUUUUCGGAUUGUAAACUCCUUUUGUUAGAGAAGAUAAUGACGGUAGCAGAGGAGGAAGCUCCGGCUAACUACGUGCCAGCAGCCGCGGUAAUACGUAGGGAGCGAGCGUUGUCCGGAUUUACUGGGUGUAAAGGGUGCGUAGGCGGGUAAGCAAGUCAGAAGUGAAAUCCAUGGGCUUAACCCAUGAACUGCUUUUGAAACUGUUUAUCUUGAGUGAAGUAGAGGUAGGCGGAAUUCCCGGUGUAGCGGUGAAAUGCGUAGAGAUCGGGAGGAACACCAGUGGCGAAGGCGGCCUACUGGGCUUUAACUGACGCUGAAGCACGAAAGCGUGGGUAGCAAACAGGAUUAGAUACCCCAGUAGUC
rnacentral:rRNA from 1 species